rnacentral:rRNA from 1 species
UACGUAGGUGGCAAGCGUUGUCCGGAUUUACUGGGUGUAAAGGGCGUGCAGCCGGGCUGACAAGUCAGAUGUGAAAUCCCCAGGCUUAACCUGGGAACUGCAUUUGAAACUGUCGGUCUUGAGUACCGGAGAGGUUAUCGGAAUUCCUUGUGUAGCGGUGAAAUGCGUAGAUAUAAGGAAGAACACCAGUGGCGAAGGCGGAUAACUGGACGGCAACUGACGGUGAGGCGCGAAAGCGUGGGGAGCAA